ACAUAUAACUUAUAUAUAUGUACAUAUAUACAUAUAUACGUCAAUAAACAAAUAACUGCGUCUGCUAUUGAUUGACGACCCCGGCAAAAGUCCGCAAGCAUUUAAAGUAAUAUUCCACUUAUUAUUUGUUACCGCACACGCACACACACACACAGCCACACGGCUUGCUUGUAAAAUGUUUUUAACGUUGUGAAAAUUCAAUUUUUUCGCUAUUAAUAAAACGGCGACUUUUUUGUUAGGAAAGUAGCAAGUGUUUGUGCGGUCCAAUAAGCAGAGUUGUGGCAACAUAUGGCAAACAUUUUGGCUGCCACAAACGCCCGGCCAGCGCUUUGCACGCGCCUAACGGAUACUCAGUUGACUUUGCUUGUGGAAAAGUUCAAGUGUAGCAUUUUUCCUGCCGUCCGACAAAAGAAGAAAGCAAAUUUUGUAAAAAAAAACCAAAAACGAAAUUGAAAUAAAAAUAAAUUUGUGUAUUGUGCCGUUAUGUGUGGCUUUCGAAACGUUUGUGUUUGCAGCGAAAUUUAAGUGAAAUACACACAUACACACUUUUUCAGCAUCUGUAUGUUCCAUUGGCCGACGCAUUUUGUUUAUCUUUGGCCGCCUGCAAAAAGUCAGAAGGCGGCGGCAACAAAGCGUAGCCAGCGAGCAGACACUUGUUUUACAUGCGAGCAUAGAGGUGUGUCUGUGUGCGCCCAGAAAACAGCUCUACCUGCACGCCAACUGAAAUGCGA